AGAGUUUGAUCAUGGCUCAGGACGAACGCUGGCGGCGUGCUUAACACAUGCAAGUCGAACGAUGAAGCCUUUCGGGGUGGAUUAGUGGCGAACGGGUGAGUAACACGUGGGCAAUCUGCCCUGCACUCUGGGACAAGCCCUGGAAACGGGGUCUAAUACCGGAUAAUACUUUUCCCUGCAUGGGGAAGGGUUGAAAGCUCCGGCGGUGCAGGAUGAGCCCGCGGCCUAUCAGCUUGUUGGUGGGGUGAUGGCCUACCAAGGCGACGACGGGUAGCCGGCCUGAGAGGGCGACCGGCCACACUGGGACUGAGACACGGCCCAGACUCCUACGGGAGGCAGCAGUGGGGAAUAUUGCACAAUGGGCGAAAGCCUGAUGCAGCGACGCCGCGUGAGGGAUGACGGCCUUCGGGUUGUAAACCUCUUUCAGCAGGGAAGAAGCGCAAGUGACGGUACCUGCAGAAGAAGCGCCGGCUAACUACGUGCCAGCCGCCGCGGUAAUAC
rnacentral:rRNA from 1 species